GAAAACUGAUUGAUUAGAGCAAAUAAAUUGCAAGUAUGUUCAGGUAUCACAUUAUUUUAUUUAUAAUUAAGAUUUAUUCAUUGUCCAUAAUGAACUUGUACUCUUAUUAAUGUUGCAUGUUCUUUCUACCUUAUGAAGGUUUAAUGGUUAAUACACAUCUUUACAUUGACUAUUUAUUUGGUUAAAGCAAUUUUAUACAAUUGACAACGGCAAUUUGUGUUUGGAUAUAUUGAUUGACCUAUACACCAUUAUUACUAGUUUUUGUUUCAAAUUUUGUUUCCUCUAUCUUUCCUUCUUAAUUUUUUUAUACACUGUAUGAAUAUUGUGUUCUGUUUCACUUAGAAACAUCCCACAAAUUUUGAGCACUCUACACAUUUGAAGAUGGAAAUAUAUUGUGAAAUUAUGUAUAUAAUCGUUAUAUUUCUCUUGUUCUAAACCUUAUAUGAAUUACAAUAACCUUAUGUUGCAAUUGUUCUCAAUCUUAUAUUGGUAAACGUAACAACAUGCCUUGGUUUGUGUUACAAAGCAGCGGUGGAAUGCAACUUUCGAGACAAUAGUUGUGAUCUGGAGUUGCAUUAAUCUUUAUUUAAAUUCUUAGAUUUUCCAUAAUUCCAUAGUAUCCUCAUUCUGAGAUCAAUGUUGUAAAUUUUCCUCUAGGAAGCGCAAAUCCUCCUUUUGCAACCAAUCUUAAAAAAUGUUUAAUGUCUAUCAAUACUUACAAAAAUGUUUAUAAUUUGAUAUAUACAUUUGAUCAAUCUGCUAUAGAGGCCCUUCAGUAUAUUUUGUUAAUUUAUUAAGCAACUUUUUAUCCAAUUUUAUACUUCUUAUGAGCAAUCAAACAUUUCAGCAGAGUGAUUCAACUUGUCAUUUCAACCUUCUGUGGCCAACCUUGAUAUAUGUUUCUCAAUUUGAUUUAUAAAUUUGAUCAAUGUGUUAGUGGUCUUUUUGUAUACUUUGUAAAUAUAACAAGCAACUUUAUGUUCCAUUUAAUCCUUAUGGACAACCAAAUUGUUCAACAGGGGAGGGCGUCAACUUUUCAGUUUAGCCUUUAAUUGUUUUGUACCCUUGAUUUUCUUUCUCCUAUUUGAAAAGUUGGAUUCAUUUGUAUCAAAGAUGGAAUAUAUUUUCUGUUCCAAAAAAGAUUCUGAAGGUUUGCAAUCCCAACUUAGAAUUUACAGGCUAUUUGGAUUUGGAGAUCGGAGAUGUAGAAAUGAUAUAUUGCUCCUUUUUUCAUGUUCAAAGAACUAGCAUUAUUCAAUUGAAACUAUCAAUAUUAUCAUUUUAUGGCAUACCUUGAAAGCUAAUCACUAGCUUUUACUGUGUUUGUUGAAAAGGUGCAAGGAAGAGACCGUUUGUAUGUCAAAUAUAUAGCAGAGCAGCUGGGAUUGCAUGUUCUUUCUAGCUUGUGAAUGAUGAAUCGUCAAUAAUGUUAUGGUAUGACAUUUUUGACAGAUUAUGUGCAUCUUUUGUUCUGCUUUGUCCUAAUCAAACCAAUCUUUAGACAUUGCUUGAUGAUCUGAAGACGAAGUAUAGAUGAUGAUAUGGUUUUGAGCCCUAAAGAAGCUUUAUCCCGAGCCUUUGUUGAUGAAAGAAGCAGAUAUCUCAGUCGGUGUGUUUGUUCCAUUUAUCUUGGUUUUAAAUUUGUUCUUUUUGUCUGAAACCAUACAUUGGAUGGAGCAAUCAUAUAGUCACACUGAAGGUUCUUUUUCUAUUUGGAUUUGUAGCAAAUGAUAUUGUAAUUGUCUAUUUGCCGUUUUCUGCUUAUGAGCAAUACGGUGUACAUUAGUACCACGUAACAACUCUAUUGUCUUUGUGUAUUGAUUUUGGCAUUAAGUAUCUCUGGUGACCUAUUUGCUUCAUUUUCCUGACUUGCUAUUAUUUUUAAAUAUGUGCAGGAAAACUGUUUCUACGACCUGCCUUACAAUACUGGGUAUCAAAUUUUUGUGCUACGUUUACGGAAGACAAAGGACGAAAUUAUGAAGUGUACUCUCUAUAUAUAUGUAGAUAUAUACUUUGAUUGAAGAACUAUGGUAGCUUUAGAUGGUUAAUUGUAAAGAUAAUGAAUGAUUAUGUAGUGAAUGAUUUUAUUAAGU
rnacentral:lncRNA from 1 species